rnacentral:pre_miRNA from 1 species
UUUUCAGUGUAAGUAUGCCCCAUGCAAUAUUUGGGACAUACUCAUACUAAAC